UACACUCCUGCGGGAGGCAGCAGUGGGGAAUAUUGGACAAUGGGCGCAAGCCUGAUCCAGCCAUGCCGCGUGAGUGAUGAAGGCCCUAGGGUUGUAAAGCUCUUUCACCGGUGAAGAUAAUGACGGUAACCGGAGAAGAAGCCCCGGCUAACUUCGUGCCAGCAGCCGCGGUAAUACGAAGGGGGCUAGCGUUGUUCGGAUUUACUGGGCGUAAAGCGCACGUAGGCGGACUAUUAAGUCAGGGGUGAAAUCCCGGGGCUCAACCCCGGAACUGCCUUUGAUACUGGUAGUCUUGAGUUCGAGAGAGGUGAGUGGAAUUCCGAGUGUAGAGGUGAAAUUCGUAGAUAUUCGGAGGAACACCAGUGGCGAAGGCGGCUCACUGGCUCGAUACUGACGCUGAGGUGCGAAAGCGUGGGGAGCAAACAGGAGUAGAAACCCCGGUAGUCCCAUG
rnacentral:rRNA from 1 species